CAGACAUCGCAAAUGGUGAAUCAAAUGCUCAAACAGACAUCGCAAAUGAUAAAUCAAAUGCAAAUGAGGUGUCAAUCAACCAGCAUAGGCGGAGCUUUAAGGCGGAAGAGUUUGUUGUUGACAACAACCGGUAGCGCUACGACUUUUUCAAGGCGUUCAGAUUUGCGUGCACUAUUCCAUGUCGUAUCCGUAUAAACUCGUGAAAGAGAAAGCGAGAAAUCUCCUAAUGCUUCUGUCCACAUUCUGAAGUGUUCAUCAGAUGGGUACAUCUAUCAUAGGAGGCCACGAAAAACCAUACGAUAACCAAGAUGAUAAAAAAAAGUUACAUAACUGACGUUAAGCGCAACUUUAAAUAAAUGGUAGGUUUAUUAAAUCUUAAUUUAAAAUAAUAUUUUAUUACAUAAGAUAUCCUUGUCAAAUGUAACCUAAUUUGUUGUUACCUUUAUUGUGUAACUUUUUUAUUCACAUGUAAAAAAUGCUUAAAGUUAGUUUUCCAGUCUUGUUUGAUUAUAUCAUCAUAUAUUCCUAUAUCAAAAGAAAAUCUAUUACAUUUGUUCUCUUUUUGCUGUUUAUGUUAAUUGUUAAGAUACAGCAAUGUUUCCCUAAGCCUGUAUGAAAUUUUUAUUUCUGCAUAAUAAUGAUUAAUAAUAAUUGUUAUUGAUAACAAUCCCAUAAUAAUACAAAUAAAAUAGCAGGGACAGAAGCAAUAACACCUAAUAGCAUCAGUAACUUGAUAACCCUACCUGAUAGCCUUUCUAAUGUUGGCACAUUGGUACAUCUGCACAAAGAUGCCGGACAGCUGCUUGAAGAUCUUCCUUUGGAGAAAUUUUACACUCGAAAAAUACAAAACCCCAUGUUCUGCUGCAUGCUGGACUUCUGGACUUCACUUGUUUUUGCCAUCACAUCCCUCAGUGCUGCAGUCAGACUGGAACAGAGUUGUGAGGUGAGGCUGUCCAUGCCUGAGAAACCGAUUCAUACUGAAGAUGAAGAGACCACACCAGCAUCUGGCUCAGAUGAGGACACGCAUGCAGGUGGAGGGAUGCAGGGUCUUGUCCAUGGCACUACAGCAUCUUCAACAUUUACUUCAUCAGCACACUGCUGUUCUUCAUCAUCAUCACUGCACACACCAGUCUGAGGACAUUUCAGAUUAUGCAAAGCUCUUAAUAAAGAAGUCAUUUAACAGCA